UGGGGAAUAUUGCACAAUGGGCGCAAGCCUGAUGCAGCCAUGCCGCGUGUGUGAAGAAGGCCUUCGGGUUGUAAAGCACUUUCAGCGGGGAGGAAGGCGGUGAGGUUAAUAACCUCAUCGAUUGACGUUACCCGCAGAAGAAGCACCG
rnacentral:rRNA from 1 species